GACGAACGCUGGCGGCGUGCUUAACACAUGCAAGUCGAACGAAGUGGCGAACGGGUGAGUAACGCGUAAUCAACCUGCCCUUCAGAGGGGGACAACAGUUGGAAACGACGGCUAAUACCGCAUAAUGAAGGAGGGGAUUGCGUCUGAUUAGCCAGUUGGAGGGGUAACGGCCAACCAAGGCGAUGAUCAGUAGCCGGUCAGAGAGGAGUGACGGCCACGUUGGGACUGGUACCCGGCCCAGAACCCUUCGGGAGGCAGCAGUGGGGAAUCUUCCGCAAUGGACGAAAGUCUGACGGAGCCACGCCGCGGGCGUGAUGACGGCCUUCGGGUUGUAAAGCUCUGUUAAUCGGGACGCGGUACCGGAAUAGAAAGCCACGGCUAACUACGUGCCAGCAGCCGCGGUAAUUC
rnacentral:rRNA from 1 species